UGGACCCCAGGCCCCUGCAUACUGGGCACAGCCAGGACCCCCCGACCCCAGGGCCUGUGCUUCUAGGAAGAGGGGGAAAAUUGAAUUUGUGGGGAGUGGCAGGCAGUCUGCCUUAGUAUCCCUGCCACACUCAGUUGCUGAUUGUCUAGAAGCAGCCAACAGGAAGAGUGGCCUCUACAUAAAUAUGGGUGCAAGCAGCUGGAGGCCAUGAUCAACUGAACUCUCUCUUCAGGAGACAUAUUCUUAUGGCCACCACACCUACCCAAUCCUGAUGUCUUUUGCUUGAACAUCCACAUCA
rnacentral:lncRNA from 1 species